UACGAGUAGGGCUACACACGUGCUACAAUGGCGCAUACAAAGAGAAGCGACCUCGCGAGAGCAAGCGGACCUCAUAAAGUGCGUCGUAGUCCGGAUUGGAGUCUGCAACUCGACUCCAUGAAGUCGGAAUCGCUAGUAAUCGUAGAUCAGAAUGCUACGGUGAAUACG
rnacentral:rRNA from 1 species